ensembl:lncRNA
CCUCCGGUCCCGUCCCUCACGGAGACUCCGAGAGGCCGGGUAAAACAAUACCGUUCACCGGAGAGAGAGAGAGAGAGAGAGAGAGAGAGAGAGAGAGAGAGAGAGAGAGAGAGAGAGAGAACCGGUCGAGUUCCGUUACUGCUUGUCCAACUCUCUUCUCUCUUGGGUUCCGUUCCGAGCAGAUCGCUCUGUGCACCGGAGGGUCCGCGUGGGACCGGACAGGGGCGACCGGGGAACCGGGCUCGUGGACUCACACUCCCGAGAACACACACUCACUCACACACACACGCUCACAGUCACACACGCACACACACACGCACACGCACACACCUCACCAGACCGCAGAGCGGGAGGAGAGAAAUUAAAGGCUUGCAGAAAAAUACUCUGAUCCCCGAGCAAACAGUCCGCCUCCCGGGUUCUGAUUGUCCGCCUCCCGGGUUCUGAUAGUCCACCUCCCGGGUCCUGGUAUCCACCUCCCGGGUUCUGAUAGUCCACCUCCCGGGUCCUGACAGCUCACCUCCCGGGUACCUUCCUGAAGACCCUGAACUUCUCCGCUACCACUGGUUCUUAGACGAUGUUCAUCCUCUCCUCACAUGCCGGGGCGGCGCGCGGUCCGAUCUCUCCGGUUCAUCCGGCCGCUGUUCACCGAACACCGAGAACACCGCCAAUCAGCCGCCGUGUCCUUGACGCGCAGACCGCCUAUCAGCUCCGGUCUACAGCGUCCGGUCCGGGGAAGGACCCUACAGCAUUCCUCUAUCGACUCACUUCGAGCCUCCCGGUUAUAUCCUCAGAUUAAAGGACCGUAUUUCCCCUCCCGGUUUCCACAACACGUCCGACACGAACACGGAGCGCGUUCACUCUGCGGCCGCGCGCAGUCAGUGGAAGAGAACAGGCACGCGCGUCGGGCGCGUCUGGCGCGUCGGGCGUGUCUGCUCCGUUGGAGCCGCUCCGUCCUCCUCAUCAAUCACGGACCGGCAGCCGAGGGGACUUUCGCCCGGAGAGCUAAAGGAACUCGCUUACC